CUUCAUAAACAGAUAUAAAACACCUGCAGGAAUGGCUUUUGAUGGUUUUUAGGUGGAUUUCACUUUCUCAUUUGAAGUCUAGGAAGCUACUCUUGCUUUCUUAAUUUUAAAGCAGUGUGUUUUGAAAUGAACAUAUAUUGAUUGUUCCAUUUUCUAAUUCUUAUUUCUUGAGGUCUCUGGAAUUUCCAGGGGCCUCUCGGCUUCCCUUUGCGAGUGCCAGUUCUCCCAUUGAGAUGGGAUGCUGGUUUCAUUGAUCCUCUCAUUUUUCAUAACAAGCCACUAUUAAACACAUACUGGGAGGCUGCCCUUAGCUGUUUGUAGCUGAGAAAUGGAACAGGACAAAUACAGUGGUACCUCAGGUUAAGUACUUAAUUCGUUCCAGAGGUCCAUACUUAACCUGAAACUGUUCUUAACCUGAAGCACCACUUUAGCUAAUGGGGCCUCCUGCUGCUGCCGCACCGCCGGAGCACGAUUUCUGUUCUCAUCCUGAAGCAAAGUUCUUAACCUGAAGCACUAUUUCUGGCUUAGCGGAGUCUGUAACCUGAAGCAUAUGUAACCUGAAGCGUAUGUAACCCGAGGUACCACUGUACUAGGAAUUUGCUUUUAUCAUGGAACUAAUGAAAACAAUGAACACGAAGAUGGGAGAGGAGGGGCCUUGUAGCAGAGGGACCACAGCGGACCCAAUCCAGCACCCAGGUCACCUGCACACUAUGAGAGAUGCAUUGCAUUACUACUGAUAGACUUUGGGGGGGGAACUGUCCUCGGAUGUACGGUUAUUACCAGGUAUGUUGAAUUCUGCUCCAUCACUCUCGUCUGUAUGAUAUCCUGUGGUCAGCAGUCAAAAUGAAGCAGGUAUCUGAAGUUAGUGAAACUCAGGAACUGAUAUGAUCAUAGCAUUAAAUGGCUGUAGGCUGGAUAGCAGAAGCAAAGGAUGUAGGCUUUGAUCUUCUGGAACACUCGGGGGUUGCCUUCUUCCCCUUUUCCAAUGUGAUGAAAGCUCAACUUCUGCUAAGAGAUCCAGUCCAAUUUACUGAGUGCUAAGAUGAUAAAUGGCUUCACUGAAAACCAGUUUGACUAGGUGAGUUUUGAAACUGUUUUUUCAUGGUUUUAAAAAAGUUGAUAAAAUCUUAUUAUCUUUCAGAAGUAACGGAGGAAGAAGAAAAUCUCCCAAAGUGAAAAUUGUGAUGCACAGUUCCUCUAAAGAAAAAUAAAAUAUAAGAGCCUUACGUGUUCAUCAAGUGUUAGUCAAACUCAUCCAUUUAUUAACAUUUAUCAGUUUCUGAACACUCUAAAAAUAACAAAGCGAAAUGAUUUAUGAUAUGUAUACUGCUCGGCCAUUACCUUGAUCCAGAGACAGUUAUGCAUGAACAGAUCUAACAAAUUUUUCCGCAUGGGGUGAGAUCACUGGGAGAGGAACGGGUGUGCGGAGGGAGUGGACCGCCUCCGGCACCACUAUUCAGCUUUCCUCUAAGGCUGGAUCUAGACACGUAAAAAGUGUUUCAGGAACACACACUGUAAACUUCAUUAUGGGAAAUCAUGUUGGCAAAAGACAGGACUCCACAGCGCCAUCUGUUGCCGCAGUGUUAUAACACAUAUAAAACACAUUUUCUUUGCUAA